rnacentral:rRNA from 1 species
ACGGGAGGCAGCAGUGGGGAAUAUUGCACAAUGGGGGAGACCCUGGUGCAGCGACGCCGCGUGAGUGAAGAAGUAUUUCGGUAUGUAAAGCUCUAUCAGCAGGGAAGAAAAUGACGGUACCUGACUAAGAAGCCCCGGCUAACUACGUGCCAGCAGCCGCGGUAAUACGUAGGGGGCAAGCGUUAUCCGGUUUUACUGGGUGUAAAGGGAGCGUAGACGGCGAUGCAAGUCCGAUGUGAAAGCCCGGGGCUCAACCCCGGCACUGCAUUGGAAACUGUGUUGCUAGAGUGCAGGAGAGGUAAGUGGAAUUCCUAGUGUAGCGGUGAAAUGCGUAGAUAUUAGGAGGAACACCAGAGGCGAAGGCGGCUUACUGGACUGUAACUGACGUUGAGGCUCGAAAGCGUGGGGAGCAAACAGGAUUAGAUACCCUGGUA